rnacentral:SRP_RNA from 1 species
AUCGAUGGGCAAUGUUCCGCUUAUGAAUUGUGUCAGGUCCGGAAGGAAGCAGCACUAAGUAUGUCGGGGCAUGUGCCCUUUUUUUGU